GGGGUUGUGGCUCAGUGGCAGAGCACUUGCCUAGCAUGUAUGAGGCAGAGUUCUAUCCUCAGCACCA
rnacentral:tRNA from 1 species